rnacentral:rRNA from 1 species
GUAACAAGGUUUCCGUAGGUGAACCUGCGGAAGGAUCAUUACCGAGUUUUCGGGCUUCGGCUCGACUCUCCCACCCUUUGUGAACGUACCUCUGUUGCUUUGGCGGCUCCGGCCGCCAAAGGACCUCCAAACUCCAGUCAGUAAACGCAGACGUCUGAUAAACAAGUUAAUAAACUAAAACUUUCAACAACGGAUCUCUUGGUUCUGGCAUCGAUGAAGAACGCAGCGAAAUGCGAUAAGUAAUGUGAAUUGCAGAAUUCAGUGAAUCAUCGAAUCUUUGAACGCACAUUGCGCCCCUUGGUAUUCCGGGGGGCAUGCCUGUUCGAGCGUCAUUACAACCCUCAAGCUCUGCUUGGAAUUGGGCACCGUCCUCACUGCGGACGCGCCUCAAAGACCUCGGCGGUGGCUGUUCAGCCCUCAAGCGUAGUAGAAUACACCUCGCUUUGGAGUGGUUGGCGUCGCCCGCCGGACGAACCUUCUGAACUUUUCUCAAGGUUGACCUCGGAUCAGGUAGGGAUACCCGCUGAAC